rnacentral:lncRNA from 1 species
UUCUAUUUUUAGCCGUGGCGGCCAUCUUGGUUGGUUGACCGGGUCAUGCCACACAUUUUUAAACUAGAUACCCCAAUAAUGAUUGUGGCCAAGUUUGGUUUAAUUUGGCCCAGUAGUUUCAGAGGAGAAGAUUUUUGUAAAAGCUAACGACGAUGGACGACGACGAUGGACAACGACGAAGGACAACGACGACGGACGCCAAGUGAUGGGAAAAGCUCACUUGGCCCUUCGGGCCAGGUGAGCUAAAAAUUCACAACAGUAUCUACUCAUAGGUGUAUUAUCUGUUCUUGAUAUGAAUUCCAACAUAUAGUAUUACACUGUAGUAUCUUGCAUAUACUGAACUAAAGCAAAAUUGAAAAUCAAUAAAAGAACAGAAUUGCACAUAUCUUAUCUAUUAAAUACAAGGGCAAUAACUCAAUAAAAUGAGUUCAAAUGUC